GUGCCAGCAGCCGCGGUACUACCGGCAGCCCAAGUGAUGGCCGAUCUUAUUGGGCCUAAAGCGUUCGUAGUUGGCCGCGCAAGUCCAUCGGAAAAUCCACCCGCCCAACGGGUGGGCGUCCGGUGGAAACUGCACAGCUUGGGACCGGAAGGCUCGAAGGGUACGUUCGGGGUAGGAGUGAAAUCCUAUAAUCCCGCACGGACCACCGAUGGCGAAAGCACUUCGAGAAAACGGAUCCGACAGUGAGGGACGAAAGCCAGGGUCUCCAACCGGAUUAGAUACCCCAGUAGUCC
rnacentral:rRNA from 1 species